rnacentral:rRNA from 1 species
CGCCUUUUGAAAUAUAAAUAUAAAAGGUCCUGCCUGCCCAGUGACACCUGUUUCAACGGCCGCGGUAUUAUGACCGUGCAAAGGUAGCGUAAUCACUUGUCUUUUAAAUCAAGACCAGUAUGAAUGGCAAAACGAAAGCCUUACUGUCUCCCCAGAUUAGUCAAUGAAAUUGAUCUUCCCGUGCAGAAGCGGGAAUAUAAAUAUAAGACGAGAAGACCCUGUGGAGCUUUAAACUUAAGCUACAUCACCCGCUUAGUAUACAGUUUUGGGUUGGGGCGACCAUGAGGUAAAACACAACCCUCAAGAUUAAAAAUAAGAAGGACACUUCAAACAAUUAAAACUAAUAUAUUGACCCAAUAAUUGAUCAACGAACCAAGUUACCCCAGGGAUAACAGCGCAAUCUACUCAAAGAGCCCUUAUCGACGAGCAGGUUUACGACCUCGAUGUUGGAUCAGGACCCCCAAGUAAUGUAACAAUUAUUAAAGGUUCGUUUGUUCAACGAUUAAAGUCCU